AUGCACGCUGGCGGCGUGCCUAAUACAUGCAAGUCGAGCGAACAGACGAGGAGCUUGCUCCUCUGACGUUAGCGGCGGACGGAUGAGUAACACGUGGAUAACCUACCUAUAAGACUGGGAUAACUUCGGGAAACCGGAGCUAAUACCGGAUAAUAUAUUGAACCGCAUGGUUCAAUAGUGAAAGACGGUUUUGCUGUCACUUAUAGAUGGAUCCGCGCCGCAUUAGCUAGUUGGUAAGGUAACGGCUUACCAAGGCAACGAUGCGUAGCCGACCUGAGAGGGUGAUCGGCCACACUGGAACUGAGACACGGUCCAGACUCCUACGGGAGGCAGCAGUAGGGAAUCUUCCGCAAUGGGCGAAAGCUUGACGGAGCAACGCCGCGUGAGUGAUGAAGGUCUUCGGAUCGUAAAACUCUGUUAUUAGGGAAGAACAAAUGUGUAAGUAACUAUGCACGUCUUGACGGUACCUAAUCAGAAAGCCACGGCUAACUACGUG
rnacentral:rRNA from 1 species